CUUUUGUUUGGAUGCCCGGGACAGAGUCCCUCAUGCCGCCACAGAUCAGAUAUCCACGCGUUGGGAUCCAGCAGUGCCCCCAGCGCCGUCCCGUGCUCCGAGCCGGCAGCGCUCGAGGUGCGGGAUCCAGGCACGACCCGAACUCGCUCCCAGGCUACGCCCAGAUGAUACGUUCCUCACUGACAUUUAAGGAAGAGUUUGAAGUUCCUGUUCCCUGUCCCAGCAUCAUUUUGCCUGUUUUCCCUUUGAUGGAGCUUACACUAGAGAGCGUCUCAAAGAGCAUUGCUGCUUCCCUCUCUAGGCUGAAAUACUCCCAGACAGAGAAGAUCCUGAUAGGAAUCUUAGACACCAUCCCAAGAGACUUGUUUGACCCCUGUUCCAGCAGACUGACCCCGAUGGGCCCCUCCGUUCCACCAGCGCCAUGCUGGGGCUGAGCACCUUGUAAAACCUCAGGGAGCCUCAGCUUGCAAAUGUACAGGAGGUUCAUUUGCUUUGGGGCUUGGAAUUGUGUACAGAGCGGAAAGAAAGGCAAGGAUGCAAGGAGAAAUUCAUCCACCAAAAGCCAAAUGCCAUUCCUCAUGGAUGACCCUUGCCCUGACAGGAGAUGCAGGAUCACAGGUGGAUGUGACGGGGUUGGGUCCCCACUGCACAAUGGCAUCUUUUAUGCCUAGAAGUUUGCAAGAAAGAAUUUAAUUCUAAUGUCUUUAGUUGCUUUCCAUGCACUAAAGCCUGCUCUGGGAGCCAGGCAGUCCUGGCAAAGUCACUGGGGGAAGCCAGGGUGUCACGUUUGGAGGGAAGCAGGUGAGGUCCAAGGUGAGGUUUGAAAGGAAAAGGGGGAUGAAGCAAAGGUUGCCCAGGGACUCCCAGCAGGCAGAGACCAAGGUCAGAUGAGCAGUGGUGGGGACUGGCCCGGGCUGGGGAUGGCACUGAACUUUUGGUGACAGACCUGGCAUCCCCAAGCACUUUGAGUCCCCAGCUUUGAGGAAGGGCUGGCACAGCACACAGCCACUGACACUCGUUUUCUCUCAGGCAGUAAGUUAAAAUGCUUGGAAAUAAUAUUUCUCCCUGCCUGUUUCUGGAGCCUGGGCUGGGCAGCAACAACAGCAACAAUCCUUAAAGGGUCCUUCCUGCCUGAAUCUGCUCUGAAACACAUCAGCAGAACACCUGCAGCAGAAUGCUGAAGAAUUUGCUGUAUUAACAUACUCU
rnacentral:lncRNA from 1 species